rnacentral:rRNA from 1 species
AUCGAUAAUCCACGUUAAUUUUCACUUAAAUUCAUAAUUUAUAUACCGCCAUUUUAAGAAAUAAUUAAAAAUUCUCUCCCAAUAAUUAAUAAAAAAUUAGGUCAAGGUGUAAUCCAUAUUUAAGAUUAGAUGAAUUACAUUAAAUAAUAUUUCAAGCUUAUUCAUUCAUAUACAAAUACAAAUAAGAAUUUAAAAGUAAUAUAAUAAUAAUAAUAAUAUAUGAUAUAGAUAAUAAAUGUGUACACAUCGCCC